rnacentral:rRNA from 1 species
GGGUUCGAUUCCGGAGAGGGAGCCUGAGAAACGGCUACCACAUCCAAGGAAGGCAGCAGGCGCGCAAAUUACCCAAUCCCGACACGGGGAGGUAGUGACAAUAAAUAACAAUACGGGGCUCUUUCGGGUCUCGUAAUUGGAAUGAGUACAAUUUAAAUCCCUUAACGAGGAACAAUUGGAGGGCAAGUCUGGUGCCAGCAGCCGCGGUAAUUCCAGCUCCAAUAGCGUAUAUUAAAGUUGUUGCAGUUAAAAAGCUCGUAGUUGAAUUUCGGGAUUGACACAUCGGUCGUGCCUUAAGGGGUAUGAACUGGUGUAGUCAAUUUCUCACCUUCUGGAGAACCGCGAUGCCCUUAAUUGGGUGUCGCGGGGAACCAGGACCUUUACUUUGAAAAAAUUAGAGUGUUUAAAGCAGGCAUUUUGCUUGAAUACAUUAGCAUGGAAUAAUAAAAUAGGACGGCAUGAUUCUAUUUUGUUGGUUUCUAGGAUCACCGUAAUGAUUAAUAGGGAUAGUUGGGGGCACUAGUAUUCAAUUGUCAGAGGUGAAAUUCUUGGAUUUAUUGAAGACUAACUACUGCGAAAGCAUUUGCCAAGGAUGUUUUCAUUAAUCAAGAACGAAAGUUAGGGGAUCGAAGACGAUCAGAUACCGUCGUAGUCUUAACCAUAAACUAUGCCGACUAGGAAUCAGACGAUGUUAAUUUUUUAAUGACUCGUUUGGCACCUUACGGGAA